rnacentral:rRNA from 1 species
UGCCCCAUAGUCUGGGAUACCACUUGGAAACAGGUGCUAAUACCGGAUAAGAAAGCGGAUCGCAUGAUCAGCUUUUAAAAGGCGGCGUAAGCUGUCGCUAUGGGAUGGCCCCGCGGUGCAUUAGCUAGUUGGUAAGGUAAAGGCUUACCAAGGCGAUGAUGCAUAGCCGAGUUGAGAGACUGAUCGGCCACAUUGGACUGAGACACGGCCCAAACUCCUACGGGAGGCAGCAGGG